GGCUGCCCCGGGAGGGAUCCGGAGGGUGUGAGUGGGCGCGGGUGUGCUCGUGGAAGAGCGCGUUGUGAGGGCGCCCGUGCUUGUGCAGGAGAGGGCUGCGGUGGGAGAGCGAGCGGUUGCGUGGCAGCCUGUAUGUGUCCCCACGCUGGGAGCACGCAGCACACGCACUCCCUGCCGAGGUCUGGUAUCGGUGUUUGCAGGAGCACGGCUGCACUCUCCUCGGCCCGAGGCAGGAGGGGACGCGCCAGCGUUGCACUUGGCACUGCCUCUUAAAUCACCAAGUGCGCGAAACACUGGCGUAGGGUUCAUGUGUUUCAGUCCAGAUGAGCUAGCAUAUGGAUGUAUUGGAUGUCAAGCCCAGAGGACAAUGGUUAAUGGACUGUGAUCUACCCAGAGGCUCAGUAACAAGGGUAACAAGUGCCACAGGAGGCUGUCAUGGAACUUGUCCUGAUUAACUUCCUUAACAAUGACCUGGAGGAGACAGCAGAGCAAUGGUUGCUCAGAUUUGCAGAUGAUAACAGGUUGGGGUAUAACUUAACACUUGUUAGACCACAUUAAAAUACUCUCUUCAGUUUUGAGACCCCCAGUAAAAGAAAGACAUUGAAUAAACUGAAGCAAGUUCAGCAGAUGGCCACCAAGAU